rnacentral:rRNA from 1 species
ACGGGAGGCAGCAGUGGGGAAUAUUGCACAAUGGGCGCAAGCCUGAUGCAGCGAUGCCGCGUGAGGGAAGAAGGUUUUCGGAUUGUAAACCUCUGUCAACAGGGACGAAAGUGACGGUAGCCAAGGAGGAAGCCACGGCUAACUACGUGCCAGCAGCCGCGGUAAUACGUAGGUGGCAAGCGUUAUCCGGAAUUACUGGGUGUAAAGGGAGCGCAGGCGGGAUAGCAAGUCAGCGGUGAAAAUUAUGGGCUUAACUCAUAAACUGCCGUUGAAACUGUUAUUCUUGAGUGGAGUAGAGGCAGGCGGAAUUCCGAGUGUAGCGGUGAAAUGCGUAGAUAUUCGGAGGAACACCAGUGGCGAAGGCGGCCUGCUGGGCUCUAACUGACGCUGAGGCUCGAAAGUGUGGGGAGCAAACAGGAUUAGAUACCCUGGUA